AGGUGAAACUUCUUGUGUUUUAGUUUAUGGCCAUUGCUCCUCAUCAUGUUGCUGGGCACCACUGAAGAGUCUGGCACCAUUCUCUUGGCACCUGCCUUUGAGACACUUAUACGCAUUAAUGAAUGAGAUCCCCUCUCAGUCUUCUCCAGACUAAACAGGCCCAGCUCCAGCAAUCUACCAUCAUGAGAGAGAUGCUUCAAACCCCUGAUCAUUCUUGCAGCCCUCCACUGGACCCUCUCAGGUAGCUCCUUGUCUUUCUUGUACUGAGGAGCCUAGAACCAGACACAGUACUCCAGACUUGACCUCAGCAGGGUCAAGUAUAUGUGGUAGUAUUGCAGUCCUUGUGUACAUAAAGGGAAAAUUAACAUAAAAGAUUUCAGAGUCACUGUCUCAAUUAUAUAAAUUUAUAGUGGCUGAUUUUUAAGGACUAAGCUAAUGCCCACAUUGCUAACACAGUAAGGAGGAAGAUUUGCCAAAUAGGGUAUAGUUGCAAUGCUGAAGUCACACAGUAUGUAGCAGCUGUAUCACCUGCAGCCUAGGAUAGGGUGACUACUAAUGCCGAGAUGUUCAAGGCAGUAGACCAUAAUCUCAUACCAAAAUCUAUGUGGUUCAGGGUAGCUUAUUGUGCUUUUAGCUAGUUGUUUUAUUUUCAUAAUUAAAACAUACAUUAUUGGCAAGACUCACUUUAUCAUAUUAAAUGGAUGUUCAAGGAUACAAACUGAUAGGAAAACUCUGUAUUGUGUUACAGAACUUGAUGUCUGAGCCAGGAUGUCUUUCACAAUUCCUUUUUCUAUUCAAACUGCGUUUACCUUAUUGCUAGCAGUAGGUCACUACAUCAUGUCACAACUGCUCACAGUGAACUCGGAACACAGGAGAAUAAGGAAGCUUCUCAGUGUCCCAAAUGGAUCUCUUCAGCAUGAAGCUGAUGUGAUAGAUGCUAGCAGGAUGUUAACUGCUACAUCCACUGAUACUGCUUUGACUUUUGAGAAGUGCAACUCUUGAUUGAGUUCAGCUGCCCUGCACACACAAGCCUAUGGUUGAGAACUGCAAGGCAAAUGCAGAGAGGAAGCUAUUCUUUCUGGCUGCGUAAAAAAUUCUUGAGCAAAACUGCACCCUCUUGCAGUAGUACAAGUGUCAUGUGGCAUGGAAGAGCAGUGCUAAAUGAAGCACUGGCCUUUUUAGUUUCAUUUACCAGAGAGGGGCUUGAACAACAAAGUGGUCAACUUGCUGAUUGCUGGUAUGCUUUACUGCUCCAAACUGUGCCAAAUCCAGUAAGGUAGAAUUGAUCAGCUUUAAGAAAUGCCUCAGUGCAAAGAAAGCCUUGAAGAUGGAGCACCUCUUUCUGUCUACUUUUGUAACAGUGGAGGCAGGUCUCAUUAAUUCUUGAGAUAAUACUAAGAGCAGGGUAUCUUUAUGGACUACAGUGUUUGUUAGCCUUUUCCAGACUCCUUGGUCAUUUUCGUAGGGCAAUGACUCAUCACUUCAUUACUGCACUGAUUACAUUAAGACGUUAUUAUCUUUACAAUACAAGUAACAUAAUGCUUAUGCUAAUUCACUUCAUGCGCAACUGUCAGAAUACUCGUCAACUGGAAGUAUCUUACAUGAGCAUUUCAGAAUUAUUUAGACUUUCCUGAUUAUUCAUAUUUAUGAUAUUUAACUCUAUUCAGUGAUGAUUUUGAGUAUAGCAUGUAAAAACUCAGAACAAAUUGUCAGAACUUUUUGUGCAACCAUUAGACUUGUUUGAAGGGAAAUUAGAAUAUAACAUGACUGCUCUUCAGUUUUUGCUAGAAUCCAGCCUCACAGAUUUUUUACAGAAUAGGGCAAAGGCUAAUGUUGGGGUGGGGGUAGCAAGGAAGACUUCCUCAAAAGGAAAAGUCUGCUUUUGUCAAAACAUUGAGUGUGGUUUUAAAAUGAUGCAGUUUUGUUUUUUUUUUUUCCUAACAGUAGCAAGAAGACAUGCAGAUGAACAGAACAAAAAUCAGAUGUUAAGAGAUUUUCUGUUUGCACUUAUUUUACUAAGCAUAAGUACAAGUUAGUUAUAUAAAACCACAAAAGAGUCUUGAAUUUCAAAGCUGCCUCUGAACUCUGUGGUCUGAAGAAAAGGAAGGCUUCAGGAAUGUGGUUUCUAGUAUAUCCAACAUAACCCCCACACACACCUCUUAUAAUCUUUUUUUGCCUCUUAUUUCUUUGUAAUUGAAUUAAUUUGAAGACAUGGGAAAACACAGCAGAGUAUAACAAUGAAGGGUCAGUACCAAGGUCUUACCUCAGUGGGGUUAUUCAUGUGCUUGAAUUUACACAAGUGCUGUGUUCUGCCCAUAUGUGGAAUGCAAGCAAGCUCACCCCAGUAACUGGAGGGAUUGAAGAAAGACUGGGUGAGUAAGGAUUAUAGUGAAAAAACAGACUGCUAUUUUGAAAUGGAAAUUUAUGACAUUUAGCUGAGAAUUGAUGCAGAAGGCUUGUGAACUGGAACUGAGUUUGAAAUGCGGCAUGAAAAUGCUUUCACACCUUUCUCUAGAAAAAUGAGGUUCUCUAGAGCUGUUUUUGCAGUGGAGUAAAUAACAACUAGUCAUUUCCUCACAGAUUCAGCACUUUGUAUUCUAUCCUGGUUUUGUUCUGAGAGGAAGAGAAAGAAGGAGAAAACAUUUGAACAAAAUUUGUGUCAAAGUAAAUAUGAGAUCAUUUAUUAUGUAAUUUCAGGUAUUGACAUGCAUUUGGUGUCUCUUGUCUUCUCUUUUGGCCAUCUGACUGUUACCAGAGUUAUUCCUCUUUUACUUCUCAUAGGAAAACUGAAAAGAUGGUCAACAAAACUCAUAAAUCCACCUUCCUCUCAAAGGGUAUUUGCUGCUUCAGUUGCUAAUGUUUGCCUUUGAAGCAAGAUAAACCAAAGCUGUGUUGCAUCUGUGCGCAUCCACAUUGCCAUGAGGAUGUUUUGGGAAAAUUCAGCAUUCAGCUUCCAGUUUAUAAGACCCUGAAGUGUCUGGGCUAUAACUUCAAUCCUUCAGCAAUUAUAAUCUUUUCAGAAGCUUGUGGUAGUGGAAGACAUGGCACGGAAUCGCCCCCAAAGUGAUAUUUUGCCCCUGGAACUCAACUUUGUGUGUCUUCAUCCCAUGUCCCAGUUUUAACAAAGGAAUGAGUAACAACACUUCUCUUCAUUUAUACUCUUGUCAAAUGCUUUUAAGUACUUACAUUGUUGUUUAGUGAAACUAACUGGAAUGACCUUCCAAAAUCUUAAUGCAGGAAACUAUCUACAGUGAAGCAUCUGAACAAAUUCAGUGUUUUCUGCAGCUACACUGACUAGGAAAAGCAUAACAAAACAGGAUUUCUGCCACAAGACACCUUUAUUUUCUGAUGUCACAUAUUUGGUAUCACUAAACCUAAUUCUGCACAUCGUGUUAAAACUUGCUAUUCAUUCACCAAUAAAUUUUACUUGUAGUAGAUGCUGCAAAUCAAGAUGGACAACACAGAUACUACUCAUUAAAAAAAAAAUAAAUAAA